rnacentral:rRNA from 1 species
UACGUAGGGUGCAAGCGUUAAUCGGAAUUACUGGGCGUAAAGCGUGCGCAGGCGGUGAUGUAAGACAGAUGUGAAAUCCCCGGGCUCAACCUGGGAACUGCAUUUGUGACUGCAUCGCUGGAGUGCGGCAGAGGGGGAUGGAAUUCCGGGUGUAGCGGUGAAAUGCGUAGAUAUCCGGAGGAACACCGGUGGCGAAGGCGGCUUCCUGGACCGACACUGACGCUGAGGCGCGAAAGCUAGGGGAGCAAACGGG